CUCAUAUCACUCCCAAUGUGUCAGGAUUAAUUUCAGGAAGCUCGUUUGAGAUGUUUUCAGUCGCCAUUGAUACAUGCUAUAACCGGCAAGAAGUUUUUCCUUUCCUUGAUUUGGAAUUCUCGCUAAUGGAUAAAGGACGAUAAGGAAUAAAAAGGGUUCAAGAAGAUCGCAGAGCGACCGAAUUGAUAUCUGAAAUUGUAAAUAAUAACUUCUGAUGUCAAUAAACUUGGAAUAAUAUUGCUCGUAUGGACCAGCGUGGACUACGCCUGUGAGUUACCCGACGCAGUACUUUAUACAUAAAGAGAAUCCUGCUUUUAGAAGGUGUGGACUUGCUCAUCACGUUUGAAAUUGUGUUGCUCGGUUUAAUAAGUGUUUUAAAUGUGGACAGAAUGGACAUUUUGCGCGGAUGUGCAAGACACAGAAAAUGAACCGCCGAAGUGACGUUCACGCCAUUAAAGUCGUAGAUACUCAGAGGGCAGAUUGUGCGACACAAACAGACAAAAGAAAAUCAAAGAAGAAAAUUCAACACGACAGAGACCGGAUCAGAAUUUUCAACGAAAAACGCUUUCUACUUCAGAACUUCCUUUUUCGAGGAUUAAAGACUCUCAAUUCUAUGAGGAUCUUACUUAGAAUCAACUGGGUGAGGCAAAGCAGAAAAUAAGCGUUUUGCGUGAAGAUAUUGACCACAAUACUACAAAAGCAAAGUUCUUCAAAAACCGCCAUUUUGUAGUGCUGGCUGAAUUACAGAAGCGAGACAAAGAAAUUCAGGAGCUGGAAGAACAAAUACAACACCUAAGCAGAAUAAUAUGCGACAGAGAGGAAUAACUAAAGGAAAAGGCAAAGACAAGUGAUUCAAGGGGACAUUUUCGUAAAGCUGCGGUGAAUUCGACCCAUGCUCACGGACGGUUCGAGUCUACCAGCAAUUGGAAAUGUUAUCUACCUAGUUCCAGAAUGGGCCGAGGAGGAACAAGUACCAGGUUCAACAGCAGUACGUUUCUUCGGAACACGGGGACGUGUUCAUCGGGAGGAAGAGGCAAAUAUCACCGUGUGAAAUGUUCCCCUUGGACAUAAUACCUUUUCCCCUGUCACUGGCGUUGAGUGACUUUGGUCUGGACAACCUUAAUUGACUAAUAGUUUAUCUUAGUAAUCCGUUAAUUGAAGUAACUCUUUAUAUUUACUUUUCGAUUAUUUUCUAUUGUUAAAAAUGUUUUGUUAUCUAUAUGUUAUUGGUUGCCAUGUUCAAUUAUUCGGCAGUUGGAGAGCGACGGUCAAGGCGCUCGUACCACCGACUUCCGACCUCGCGGAAUAUUGUAAUAAGUUUGUGGAGUUUUAAUAAAUCUUGUA
rnacentral:sRNA from 1 species